rnacentral:rRNA from 1 species
CCUACGGGAGGCAGCAGUGGGGAAUAUUGGACAAUGGGCGCAAGCCUGAUCCAGCCAUGCCGCGUGCAGGAUGACGGUCCUAUGGAUUGUAAAUUGCUUUUAUACGAGAAGAAACACUCCUUCGUGAAGGAGCUUGACGGUAUCGUAAGAAUAAGGAUCGGCUAACUCCGUGCCAGCAGCCGCGGUAAU